rnacentral:rRNA from 1 species
CACGAACGCUGGCGGCAGGCUUAACACAUGCAAGUCGAGCGCCCCGCAAGGGGAGCGGCAGACGGGUGAGUAACGCGUGGGAAUCUACCCAUCUCUACGGAAUAACGCAUGGAAACGUGUGCUAAUACCGUAUACGCCCUUCGGGAGAAAGAUUUAUCGGAGAUGGAUGAGCCCGCGUUGGAUUAGCUGGUUGGUGGGGUAAAGGCCUACCAAGGCGACGAUCCAUAGCUGGUCUGAGAGGAUGAUCAGCCACACUGGGACUGAGACACGGCCCAGACUCCUACGGGGGGCAGGAGUGGGGAAUAUUGGACAGUGGGCGCAAGCCUGGUCCAGCCAUGCCGCGUGAGUGAUGAAGGCCCUGGGGUUGUAAAGCUCUUUCACCGGUGAAGAUAAUGACGGUAACCGGAGAAGAAGCCCCGGCUAGCUUCGUGCCAGCCGCCGCCGUAAAAC